GUCAAACAGAAUCUUGGGGUACAGAAAAUAAAGGGGAAGGGGGGGAUACAGGUCCUGCAAUACAACUGGCAGAGUCAUUUGUACAAUAUAAACAUAUCGCUGUACAUAUUCAGCUUGCAGGGACAGGUGAGAGUACAGAAGAGAAAGCAGGGAAGGGUGAAGGGGACUGGUUCAUAUCUCAUGUAACAUUUGAAUCACGUGGGUGCCUGCGGUUUGUGAAGGGGUAAUGCAGGGAGCCCUGCUUUUUCGGAAACACUGUGCGCCUUAAUAUUGUUGUGCCUGUUUAGUGGGAUUGGUGCUUGCUAACUGAGACCCCGCUGCUGUGUGAAUUGAGACAAUUCUGCAUGGCAGACAAUUGGUUCUACUUAAGGGCACAGAACCACUUAUGGUUUGUUAGCU